rfam:Brassica oleracea var. oleracea cultivar TO1000 chromosome C5, whole genome shotgun sequence
GGAAUAUAAAAACCCGUCUCUUAACUUUUAACUAAAAAAAUUAAGAAUUGGCUCUUAAAACUCUUAUUUAAGAACUGGUUCUUAACAUUUUUUAGUUAAAAAUUAAGAGACGGAUUCUUAUAUUUC